GUGCCCUUAGCUCAGCAGGAUAGAGCGGCCGCCUCCUAAGCGGCAGGUCAUCGGUUCAAUUCCGAUAGGGCACA
rnacentral:tRNA from 9 species